CAAGCUUGUUCCCUCCUCAAUAUGACAUCCCUUCAAAUAUACAUUUUAUAUAUUUUAUAAUUACCAAAGGAGACUCCUGGAGACAGAAAUUCAGACUCAGUGAAGAAAACUGAAGAGGAAAAAAAUCUUCCCCAGAAGUAAUCAAGCACACCAAUUAGAAGUUUGGUUUGAGGAUCCCUCUGAAUCCAUACCCACCAACAUUUCACAGAUGAAAACUGGCACAAACCUUCCCAAGCAACAUCAGAAUCUGAGUAUCAUGGCAAAAGUGAUUGACAACAAAGAACAGACGAGCUGAGAGAGACUGCAUCUAUUUGCCUUCAUUUACUUUUGAACUUUGGACUCAGUUUGCAGAAACGGAAGUUAGAAGAGGACAAAAGGGGAAAGUAGGUGGAGGAAUGAGAAAUUGGGACAUUUUAAAACAACUGAAAAGUGAUAUGCCAGAGGAUUAAUUUGGACUGUUGCUGCCAAAUUGAUACAAUUGGAAGGCAUGAAAAUCAAAGCACCGCAUAUUUUAUAAUGUUGAGCAUAACCCAAUGCUUCUAUUCUGCAAAACCGGAUGACCUCUUUUAUGUUGGUGGUGUCGAAUUAGACAGAAUUACAUUAGGAAUGAAAAUAUUCCUAUCCCAGCCUUUGCAACUAUUGAUUCUUCUCUGUUCAUUAACUUGCCUCUAUGUUGCAAUCGGGUGUUCAGUUUGUAAUGAUGUAAUGGCUGUGUGUCAUCAUGUAAUUACUGAUAGCAUUUGAAAAGUUUCUAUCUAUAUGUGUGAAAAGAG